GGAGCACCCAGCCAGCAUGUUUCACAUGGUGGGUCUCAGGGAAUUCUCUGAAGCAGCCAGAGCACAGGGGCAGCCUACACCCAACGACAUUUGGAAUUUUUGGAAAAAGGCAGAAGAUGGAGAAGAAGGACAAAUGGCAAAAGGAAAGGAUGUAUUGGAUGUAGGUAUAAGAGAAAGAGGAGAAAAAGAGGUAUGAAGAAGAGGAGUGGUUGGAAUAAAAGUGACACAGAAAUAGAUCUCCAAGGCAGAGGAAAAAGUGAAUAAUAUCGACAUGAUACUUGAGGAAGGCAGACACCAUUUACAACAAUCCCGGCACAGUAGUAAUCAAAACAACGAUCCAUCCAAGUAUAUCUCUGAGAUCAAAUGGUCCUUCACUGAGACUUGUAUACUGAAAGAUACUGGAGAUUCGAGGUCUUGCACUGGAAGGAGCCGGCCC